GCCUUCGUGGUGUAGUGGUCUGCAUGUUCGGACGCGUAACCGAGAGGUCCGUGGUUCGAUUCCCGGCGAAGGCG
rnacentral:tRNA from 1 species